rnacentral:rRNA from 1 species
UACGAAGGGGGCUAGCGUUGCUCGGAAUCACUGGGCGUAAAGCGCACGUAGGCGGAUUCUUAAGUCAGGGGUGAAAUCCUGGAGCUCAACUCCAGAACUGCCUUUGAUACUGGGAGUCUUCGAGUCCGGGAGAGGUGAGUGGAACUGCGAGUGUAGAGGUGAAAUUCGUAGAUAUUCGCAAGAACACCAGUGGCGAAGGCGGCUCACUGGCCCGGUACUGACGCUGAGGCGCGAAAGCGUGGGGAGCGAACAGG